rnacentral:rRNA from 1 species
CCUACGGGGAGGCAGCAGUGGGGAAUUUUGGACAAUGGGGGAAACCCUGAUCCAGCCAUCCCGCGUGUAUGAUGAAGGCCUUCGGGUUGUAAAGUACUUUUGGCAGAGAAGAAAAGGUAUCCCCUAAUACGGGAUACUGCUGACGGUAUCUGCAGAAUAAGCACCGGCUAACUACGUGCCAGCAGCCGCGGUAAUACGUAGGGUGCAAGCGUUAAUCGGAAUUACUGGGCGUAAAGCGUGUGUAGGCGGUUCGGAAAGAAAGAUGUGAAAUCCCAGGGCUCAACCUUGGAACUGCAUUUUUAACUGCCGAGCUAGAGUAUGUCAGAGGGGGGUAGAAUUCCACGUGUAGCAGUGAAAUGCGUAGAUAUGUGGAGGAAUACCGAUGGCGAAGGCAGCCCCCUGGGAUAAUACUGACGCUCAGACACGAAAGCGUGGGGAGCAAACAGGAUUAGAUACCCUGGUAGUCCACGCCCUAAACGAUGUCAACUAGCUGUUGGGGCCGUUAGGCCUUAGUAGCGCAGCUAACGCGUGAAGUGACCGCCUGGAGUUGCCCCCAUGA